AGCGAACGCUGGCGGCAGGCUUAACACAUGCAAGUCGAGCGGGCACUUUCGGGUGUCAGCGGCGGACGGGUGAGUAACGCGUGGGAACGUGCCCUCUGGUUCGGAAUAACUCAGGGAAACUUGAGCUAAUACCGGAUACGCCCUUUUGGGGAAAGGCUUGCUGCCGGAGGAUCGGCCCGCGUCUGAUUAGCUAGUUGGUGAGGUAACGGCUCACCAAGGCGACGAUCAGUAGCUGGUCUGAGAGGAUGAUCAGCCACACCGGGACUGAGACACGGCCCAGACUCCUACGGGAGGCAGCAGUGGGGAAUAUUGGACAAUGGGCGCAAGCCUGAUCCAGCCAUGCCGCGUGAGUGAUGAAGGCCUUAGGGUUGUAAAGCUCUUUUAUCCGGGACGAUAAUGACGGUACCGGAGGAAUAAGCCCCGGCUAACUUCGUG
rnacentral:rRNA from 1 species